rnacentral:rRNA from 1 species
GACGAACGCUGGCGGCGUGCUUAACACAUGCAAGUCGAACGGAAAGGCCCUGCUUUUGUGGGGUGCUCGAGUGGCGAACGGGUGAGUAACACGUGAGUAACCUGCCCUUGACUUUGGGAUAACUUCAGGAAACUGGGGCUAAUACCGGAUAGGAGCUCCUGCUGCAUGGUGGGGGUUGGAAAGUUUCGGCGGUCGGGGAUGGACUCGCGGCUUAUCAGCUUGUUGGUGGGGUAGUGGCUUACCAAGGCUUUGACGGGUAGCCGGCCUGAGAGGGUGACCGGCCAAAUUGGGACUGAGAUACGGCCCAGACUCCUACGGGAGGCAGCAGUGGGGAAUAUUGCACAAUGGGCGGAAGCCUGAUGCAGCAACGCCGCGUGCGGGAUGACGGCCUUCGGGUUGUAAACCGCUUUCGCCUGUGACGAAGCGUGAGUGACGGUAAUGGGUAAAGAAGCACCGGCUAACUACGUG